rnacentral:rRNA from 1 species
GAAUGGUUGGACGAGAUAUAAGCUGUUUCAUUUAAAAUUUAUAUAGAAUUUUAUUUUUUAGUUAAAAAGCUAAAAUAUGAUCAAAAGACGAGAAGACCCUAUAAAUCUUAAUUAUUUAAUAAUUUUUAAUUUAUUUUGGUUUUUUUUGUUAUAAAUUUAUUAAAUAAUUUUAUUGGGGUGAUAUUAAAAUUUAAAUAACUUUUAAUAAUUUUUGUCAUUUAUUUAUGAUUAAGUGAUCCAUUAUUAGUGAUUAAAAAAUUAAGUUACUUUAGGGAUAACAGCGUAAUUUUUUUGGAGAGUUCUUAUCGAUAAAAAAGUUUGCGACCUCGAUGUUGGAUUAAGAUUCAUAUUUAAAUGCAGAAGUUUAAAUAUUAAGUCUGUUCGACUUUUUAUUCUUACAUGAUCUGAGUUCAAACCGGUGUAAGCCAGGUUGGUUUCUAUCUUUGAUUUAAUAAAAUAUUUUAGUACGAAAGGAAUUAAUAUUUAUUUUUAAGAAAUUAUUUUAUGAAUGAAUUUAAUUACUAU